rnacentral:lncRNA from 1 species
CCCAAUGAAGAGAUAGGAGGCGUGAAUAGAGGGGAGGGGAGUGAGAGUAGAAAUUGAAUUGUGUGUUUGUCAGUUGGAAACUGGAAGCCUGUCUUCAUUUCCUAAUAAAUUAUAGAUUUCCAUUUUCAACAGUUUCCUUCAAUGCAUCUCUCCUCCAUAACUGAAUCUGUGAUAAACUUUCAAUAAAAAUUUGAUAACAAAAAUCAAAAUACACAAUAAAACUGUAUAGCAGUUAUAAGUGAUGUUUAUUCCUUUACAUUUUAAAGUAUUAAUGCAGCAUAGUUUCCCCAAAAUUCUGCAUUUCUAUCAACUUCUUGUCUCACAAAAUUGUUUUCUGAAAGCUCUGAUUCUGCUUGUGUAUUUUUUGCUUUUCUGCUUUGCUUUUCACCAACAAGUUUAUUACACCACUAGGUCGACAGAGCGCAAGUGGGUCAAUGACUAGCUCCACCUCCCUUUCACUAGAAAUAAUCAGGAAAACACUUUUAUUGAAUCUCUGAGCAUUUAAAUCUG